rnacentral:snRNA from 1 species
UUAACCCAUAUUGAAACGGU